AUGGAGGGGGUGGGCUUGUGGCCCCCACAGUACGGGUCCCCAGAGGCUCAGCGGAAGCCAGGGCUGCAGGCCCUGAAGUCCAUUUGUGGUGCUGUGGAUGCACUCGGCGGUGCUGGGGGGCUUGGAGAUGACCACCCUGCUGAGCCGUGUGCCUGGGCCGAGGGCCUGGUGGAUGGGAGAUUAGUCUUCCUGCCCUAUGACAUGCUGCUCUUCUCCCUGUCCUACUGCAACCGCUCCUACCUGUCUCUCGGCACUGGUGGACCCCUGCAGGAGGCCUAUGAUGCAGUGCUCACCAUCAGCCAGGAGUCUGGCCCCAUAGACAAGGCCUUUGCUGCUGCCCGGCCUGAUGGAGAGGCGGCUGCCCACCUUGAGCCAGAGCAGGUAGGUGUGCUCCUUGUGCAGACCCCGAAUGCCUUGAGUGGGGGUCCGGGGCAGGGGUGCACGCGGUCAGGACUCAGUGAACUUGGGUCUCCUGGGGAUGCCCGUUUCUUGGUGUUAAGAAGACAGCAGUGCCUGGAGGUGGUGACGGAUGUGGAUGCUGAUGGACUCUUGGCAACUUGGGAACGUUGCGACUGGGGACCAGCAGAUGCAUCAGGCCCAGGGGUUCCAGACCCGAGCCCGAGGCAGAGGGCCUGUGUGAAGACAGUGUUCAGUGCCCUCCUGACCCAGCUGGGACUGACAGUGAGACAGAAAUGGAAACGGGGAGAGGAAAGUUUGGGCAUCCACCAGCUGCAGCUGGUGUGGGGCCCCCACCGGAUCCUGCUGACAGCCCAGGAGCUCACCUUCAUCCAUCCACCCCUGAACAGACAGAGGCUGCAUGUGGAUGGUGAAUGGAGAAGUGUGGCGGAUGGUGGGAGCCUGAGAUGCUUUGUGCUCAAGGUCACUGACCAUGAGCUGCUAUGGACAGCUCCUGAGCUGCUGCCGGGGCCUGGGCGCCCUGGGCGGCGCACCCUCACAGGGGACAUCUUCAGCACUGGCAUCAUCCUGCAGGAGGUGCUGACUCGGGCCCACUCUACUGCUCCUCGGGACUUCCAGUGGAAGAAUCAUAAUGAUGAUGAUAAUGAUAAGCAGGCAGUGUCGUUCACACCUGUGGGGAACCGGCACGCCAGUGUCUGCGUGGCAAGGCUGGAGGAAAGAGCUGCGCUGUCAAGGUUUCAAGAUCAUUGGUGGGCAUUGUUGGCAACAGAGCAGCGGCAGUUGUUGCGGGGCCUGAGGGUGGGGGAGAGUCUGCCAGGACCCCAGGCCCGCCCCAUGGUGUUGGUUGCCGAAAUCAUCAGGAGGGUGGCAUCUCCCCCUCCUCUGUGCCGGCCGCUGGUGACCCCUGAUCACGGGCCGCCUGAGUGCGUUGGCUGAUGAAGAAGUGCUGGGACGAGGCUCCAGAGGACAGACCUAGCAUGGACCAGAUCUACAGCCAGUUCAAAAGCAUCAACCAAGGCAAGAGGACCAGUGUUGCUGACUCCAUGCUGUGGUUGCUGGAGAAAUAUUCCCAGAACCUGGAGGACCUGAUUCAGGAGCAGACUGAGGAACUGGAGCUGAAGAGAGAGAAGACAGAAAGGCUGCUCUGUCAGAUGAUUCCCCCGUCUGUGGCUGAAGCUCGGAAAAUGGGGGCAACUGUGGAACCAGGGUAUUUUGACCAGGUUACCAUAUACUUCAGUGACAUUGUGGGUUUCACCAUCAUCUCAGCCCUGAGUGAACCCAUUGAGGCGGUGGGCUUGCUCAACGAUCUCUACAUGCUGUUUGAUGCUGUUCUGGGCAGCCAUGACCUGUAUAAGGUGGAGACCAUUGGGGACGCCUACAUGGUGGUGUGGGGGCUGCCUCAGUGCAAUGGCAGUCAGCAUGCGGCCGAGAUCAAUAACAUGGCUCUGGAUAUCCUUGGCUCUGUGGGUGACUUCCGGAAGAGGCAUGCACCCAACGUGCCCAUUUGCAUCAGGGCUGGCCUGCAUUCAGACCUGCUGGAGCUCACUGGGUACAUUCGAGUUUCAGGGCCCUGUGCAGCAGGGGUCGUGGGUCUCACGAUGCCUUGGUAUUGCCUCUCUGGGGACACUGUCAACACGGCUUCCCAGAUGGAGUCCACAGGGCUGCAUGAGUAUCUCACACUUCUAUCCUGCCCGGGGAGAGACUCUUUCAAUAACCUUCCUGACACCACCAUGAAGACAUCCCCAGCGUUUUUGGCCCUUACUGGCAGCAGGAGCUACCAUGAUGGCUUGGCUAGAGCAGCUAAGAUGUUGAAGCCCCAGGUCCUCUGCCUCUGGCUGUCAUACAGAAUUCAUGUCAGCCAAAGCACUGUCCAGAUACUGCUCAGCCUUGAUGAAAGCUACCAAAUUGAUAUCAGAGGGGAAGGGCAUCGAAGAGACCUACUGGGUGGGGGGAAGGCAGGCUUCCCCAGGCCCCUCCCCGCACCUGUGGACAUCAGACCUGGCUCUGGCUGCUCACUCAAUGGUUCCUUCUGGGGCUUCACAGCACCACGGAUUGCAAAGCUCCAGCAACCCUUGAAACCUGGUCCUCCAGCAUCCCCAGUCAGACAGCCCAACACCAUGCCAAGCUCCUGGCGUCUCCGCACCUACCCCUAUCCAUUAGCAAGUCUGGAGCCUCCAGAGCCUCUGGGGAGGCAGAACAGGGGUGAGGACAGCACCUUCCAGCUCUCCACCACCUCCACAAUCAGUCAUCAAGUCCUGUGCGGCCUGCCACGAUGGUCUCCGACUUCGGUCCACAACAAGGGCACCAGGCUUCAUGCUGCUCUCUUGCCUCUAUUCCCACCCCUAAUCUACCUGCAACGCAGACCUUGCGACGUCACUUUUCGACUUAGCAAGUGUGCACUACUGAUGACCAAGGGCCUUUGCUGA